rnacentral:rRNA from 1 species
AGAACGAACGCUGGCGGCAGGCUUAACACAUGCAAGUCGAACGCUCGUAGUAAUACGGGAGUGGCAGACGGGUGAGUAACGCGUGGGAACAUACCCUCCGGUUCGGAAUAGCUCAGGGAAACUUGGAUUAAUACCGGAUACGGCUGAGAGGCGAAAGAUUUAUCGCCGGAGGAUUGGCCCGCGUUCGAUUAGCUUGUUGGUGAGGUAACGGCUCACCAAGGCGAUGAUCGAUAGCUGGUCUGAGAGGAUGAUCAGCCACAUUGGGACUGAGACACGGCCCAAAACUCCUACGGGAGGCAGCAGUGGGAAUAUUGGACAAUGGGCGCAAGCCUGAUCCAGCCAUGCCGCGUGAGUGAUGACGGCCUUAGGGUUGUAAAGCUCUUUCGCUCGGGACGAUAAUGACGGUACCGAGAUAAGAAGCCCCGGCUAACUUCGCGCCAGCAGCCGC